rnacentral:lncRNA from 1 species
CUCUGACAGCACAAACAAGGUGUUAUUGCCAACCAAACAUAAACAGAAAAUAGUCAGACUUUAUUCAUUUGUUGGAGUCCCACAUCGGUGGGUUAAAGGUCCUUGGUCUCCUUAUAUGGUCUUGGGCAAUCCUCCCCUCAUGAGUUAGCUUUUGAGGUUGAGUUAGGCCCAAGGUCCAUUUCUUUAUCAUGGUAUUAGAGCCAGGCCCACCCAGUUCAUUGUUUCCGAUGUUGGGCCCCCCGUCUUAUAUUGUCCAUGCUCCAGAUGUCCAGCCCUGGGCAUGCGGGGGUAUUGGAGUCCCACAUCGUUGGGUUAAAGGUCCUUGGUCUUGGGCAAUCCUCCCUCAUGAGCUAGCUUUUGAGGUUGAGUUAGGCCCAAGGUCCAUUUCUUUAUCACUUUUAGAUACUUACAGAACCUGGAAGGCAGUACAGUUGCCAAUGUUUCGAGGAAUGGAACCAGUCAAACUAUUGUUCCGAACAUCACUGCACAAAACAAUGAAUAAUGGCUAAUUUUAUCACCCUAA